rnacentral:rRNA from 1 species
CCUACGGUUGGCAGCAGUGGGGAAUAUUGGGCAAUGGGCGCAAGCCUGACCCAGCAACGCCGCGUGAAGGAAGAAGGCUUUCGGGUUGUAAACUUCUUUUGACCGGGAAGAGCAGUAGACUGUACCUGUCUUAUAAGCCACGGCUAACUACGUGCCAGCAGCCGCGGCAAUAAGGAGGUGGCCAGCGGUGUCCGGAUUUACUGGGUGGAAAGGGCGUGUAGCCGGGAUGACAAGUCAGGUGUGAAAUCCGGGGGCCCAACCCCCGAACUGGUUUGGAAACUGGUGGUCUUGAGUAUCGGAGAGGAAGGCGGAAUUCCUAGUGUAGCGGUGAAAUGCGUAGAUAUUAGGAGGAACACCAGUGGCGAAGGCGGCCUGCUGGACGACAACUGACGGUGAGGCGCGAAAGCGUGGGGAGCAAACAGGAUUAGAUACCCUUGUAGUC